rnacentral:snoRNA from 1 species
AACUUUGUCCAAAAGUACUCCACCGCAAUAGACAGUACGACGGCCGAGCCUAGAUUUUUUGUGCGAUUGCAGAACGCCGGGGAUUGUUCUAAUUCCUAUGUUUUGUCAGUCCGGGAUCCUAGGAAUUUAACCACUCGUGCUAGCUUCGUGAUAAGCGUGUGGAGAGAUUGAUUGCCAUUCUAUAAGAACCCGAGAGGACUGCAAACAUGAUGCUUGGGUGUCAGAGAAUGGCGACAUUG